rnacentral:rRNA from 1 species
GAUGAACGUUGGCGGCGUGCCUAAUACAUGCAAGUCGAACGAAGACUGUAGUAAUACUGUCUUAGUGGCGAACGGGUGAGUAACGCGUGGGUGACCUGCCCCGAAGUGUGGGAUAACAGUUCGAAAGAACUGCUAAUACCGCAUAAUAUCCAAGAGAUUAGACGCUUUUGGAUUAAAGGAGUAAUUCGCUUCGGGAGGGGCCCGCGUCCCAUCAGCUAGUUGGUAAGGUAAUGGCUUACCAAGGCGAUGACGGGUAGGGGACCUGAGAGGGUGGCCCCCCACAAUGGAACUGAAACACGGUCCAUACACCUACGGGUGGCAGCAGUAGGGAAUAUUAGUAAUGGGCGAAAGCCUGAACUAGCAACGCCGCGUGUGCGAAGAAGGCCUUCGGUUGUAAAGCACUUUUGUAGAGGAUGAGGAAGGACGGUACUCUCAGAAUAAGUCUCGGCUAACUACGUG